UACGUAGGCAGCGAGCGUUGUUCGGAGUUACUGGGCGUAAAGGGUGUGUAGGCGGUUCUUUUAAGUUUGGUGUGAAAUCUCCCGGCUCAACCGGGAGGGUGCGUCGAAUACUGAGGGACUAGAGUACGGGAGAGGAAAGUGGAAUUCCUGGUGUAGCGGUGAAUGACGUAGAUAUCAGGAGGAACACCGGUGGUGUAGACGGCUUUCUGGACCGAAACUGACGCUGAGGCGCGAAAGCCAGGGGAGCAAACGGG
rnacentral:rRNA from 1 species